AAUUAAAAAACAAAGGAUAAGUAUCGGAUGGAUCGGUCCUCAACCCGAUCCAUCCAGAUACUUCGAGCGCUCGCAUUUUCUGCUUCUCUCUCUCGCGUCUCUCUCUCUCUCUCUCUUGCCGCCGCUGCGCGGUUCCAGCCGCCUCUGCGUCGCCGCUGCUCUCUGCUGCGCCGCCAGCCGCGCCUUGCCGAGAGCCGCGAGCCUGCGCCGCUUGCACCGCUGCGCUGCAGCGCGCGCCGUCGCCGUCGCACCGCCGCGCGCCUGUGUGCCGCGCCGCGUGCUGCCGCGCUGCCGUCCGCCUGCACGUCGUCGUGUGCCUGCGCACUACUGCUGUGUGCUCCAUGCGCCUCUGUGCUAGCAGCUGAGUGAAACAAGCAAGCAAGUAACAGCCGGCCGAAGCAAGGAAGCCAGGAAGAAGAAAGGAAGAAAGAGAAAAGAAAAGAAAAGAAAAGAAAAAGAAAAAAGAGAAAAGGAAAAAAGGGGAAGAAGAAAAAAAGAAGAAGGAAAAGUUGGAAAUUUCAGAAUUUCGUCGGAUUCGUCGUCAAUCUUUUCGAAGGAGAUUUCUCGGUGGUACUAUUUCCGGACGUUCUUGAUCGAAUUUUCUUCAUCGUCGGUAAAGGCAAGUGAAUGUAUGUUUAGAUGUUGACGUGCAUUUUGGGGAUGGAUCUCGGUAGCUGCACACACUAACUUAUCACGAUGUCGAUAGCUCAACCGGUGUAUACAAGUGGUGUGUCUGAUGGUCCGUCAUUUGUUUUUGUUUAUGUUGUGGUACGACGCUGGUAGCGUCGUGGCGGACUCUAUAUAUAUGCUGGUUAUAUCUGUUUCUGCCUGCCUGUGAUAUUUCUUUUGGUCAGUUAUACCUCUCUAUAGAGGAAAUACUGCCAAAAUUUCAUUUUUUUUAAAUAAAUAGGCUUGGUUGUAAAGUAGGGUGUUACAGCUUGGUAUCAGAGCCUAGGCUUUAGGUCCUAGGUAAUUGAAUGAUGAACCUGACACACUUGCACAAAUAGAAUGGGUAUGGGAUGCAUUGCAUUGCAUACGUCUCGUUUAUCUUUGUUUGCUUAUGUUCACUAUCUCAGAUAAGUACUAUUGAAGUUGUUUGUUUGAUUGUCCAUAUAUUCCUUAGUGUUUUAUCGUUGAUAUAUAUUGUUAAGUUGUUGGAGUCAGUUCCGUUGGAAUGGUGAAAUUGUCAGGGUGUUAAAUUUGUUACCUUGGCCAUUAGAACCUGAGAAGCUUCAGAGGAUCAAUAGUAUAAUUGUUGUAUAGCACUGCAGAUGGGGUAAGUGGAGGGCCCCCAUGAUGCCUUUUCUGCAUUGCCAGGUGAGGUUGACCAAGAGUUAGGUUUGCGAUCCAAUUAUCCACAUACAGAGCGAAUA